rnacentral:sRNA from 1 species
UUUGUGAUUAUAUCCCUUUUAUUUGCUUGUGUGUAUAGCUCGUAGAUGAGAGGAUCGCCUCACUAAGUAUAUGUGAUAAUA